UGCAGUUAACGAUUUGCCGAACGAAAAGACCGAAUACAAGAAGAUAAAUGCCAAUAUGUUAAACGAGAGUCCAUUUAAAGUCGAUAGGUUGGUGAAAAGGGACACAAACUUGGGAAGAAAAAAGCAACCGGAAUAGAUUUCAGUA